GUUGAACGCUGGCGGCAGGCCUAACACAUGCAAGUCGAGCGGAUGAAGGUAGCUUGCUACCUGAUUCAGCGGCGGACGGGUGAGUAAUGCCUAGGAAUCUGCCUGGUAGUGGGGGACAACGUUUCGAAAGGAACGCUAAUACCGCAUACGUCCUACGGGAGAAAGUGGGGGAUCUUCGGACCUCACGCUAUCAGAUGAGCCUAGGUACGAUUAGCUAGUUGGUGAGGUAAAGGCUCACCAAGGCGACGAUCGUCAACUGGUCUGAGAGGAUGAUCAGUCACACUGGAACUGAGACACGGUCCAGACUCCUACGGGAGGCAGCAGUGGGGAAUAUUGGACAAUGGGCGAAAGCCUGAUCCAGCCAUGCCGCGUGUGUGAAGAAGGUCUUCGGAUUGUAAAGCACUUUAAGUUGGGAGGAAGGGCAGUAAGUUAAUACCUUGCUGUUUUGACGUUACCGACAGAAUAAGCACCGGCUAACUUCGUGCCAGCAGCCGCAGUAAAAC
rnacentral:rRNA from 1 species